AUCUAGGGGGCGGGGCCGGGUGUGAAGCAAGGCCAGGGGGCAGUCGGACUGUACCCACUCAAGUCCCGCCCCUGCAGGUGUUUUACCCCAAGGACAGCUACAGCCAUCCUGUGCAGCUUGACCUCCUGUUCCGGCAGGCUGGAGGUUCGGGACCAUCCACGGGCGCGUGGGCCGCUUCCCUUCGGAGCUGGUGCAGCCCGCUGCUGCCCCCGACUUCCUGCAGCUGCCAGCGGAGCCAGGCCGUGGCCGAGCAGCCGCCGUGGCCGCUGCUGUGGCCUCUGCAGCCGCUGCACAGGAGGUGGGCCGCAGGAGAGAGGGACAGCUGCCAGCGAGGCUGGAGGCUGCUGUAUAUCGUGACUGCCUACCACAGCUGCUCUGAGGUCCUCCACCCACACCUCACUCGCUUCCUCCAAGACAUGAGCCGGACCCCAGGCCUGCCCUUUCAGGGGAUCGCCAAGGCCUGUGAGCAGAACCUGCAGAAAACCUUGCGCUUUGGAGGUCGUCUGGAGCUCCCCAGCAGCAUAGAGCUUCGGGCCAUGUUGGCAGGCCGCAGUUCCAAGAGGCAACUCUUUCUUCUUCCUGGAGGCCUUGAACGCCAUCUCAAAAUCAAAACAUGCACUGUGGCCCUGGACGUGGUGGAAGAGAUAUGUGCUGAGAUGGCUCUGACACGCCCUGAGGCCUUCAAUGAAUAUGUUAUCUUCGUUGUCACCAACCGGGGUCCUGCCUGAGUACCUGAAGGGACUCUUCAGCAGCGUGCCGGCCAGCCGGCCCAGCGAGCAGCUGCUGCAGCAGGUGUCCAAGCUGGCUUCACUGCAGCAUCGCGCCAAGGACCACUUCUACCUGCCGAGCAUGCGGGAAGUCCAAGAGUACAUCCCAGCCCAGCUCUACCGUACAACGGCAGGCUCGACCUGGCUCAACCUGGUCAGCCAGCACCGGCAGCAGACACAGGCGCUCAGCCCCCACCAGGCCCGUGCCCAGUUUCUGGGCCUCCUCAGUGCCUUACCUAUGUUCGGCUCCUCCUUCUUCUUCAUCCAGAGCUGCAGCAACAUUGCUGUGCCAGCCCCUUGCAUCCUUGCCGUCAACCACAAUGGCCUCAACUUUCUCAGCACAGAGACUCAUGUGAGUGGCCUCAGCCUGGCACUGCCAUCGCCACCCUCUGUUCCCUGGUCCCCUACCCCCUCCAAGGGGCCAAGACCUCCAGCCGCCGAAGCCCAGUUCCACUGCUUACCACCUUCAUGAUCUCAGGCAAGUCUCUUCCCUUCUCUGAGCCUUGCUUUCCUCAUCUGGAAAACGAGGAUAAGAGUUGAGCCCUACCCAUAGGGCUGUUGUGAAGGUGAGAUGAGGU
rnacentral:sRNA from 1 species